rnacentral:rRNA from 1 species
ACGCAAUAAGUAUCCCGGCCUGGGGAGUACGAUCGCAAGGUUGAAACUCAAAGGAAUUGACGGGGGCCCGCACAAGCGGUGGAGCAUGUGGUUUAAUUCGAUGCAACGCGAAGAACCUUACCAGGUCUUGACAUCCAAAGAACCUUAACGAAAGUUGAGGGUGCCUUCGGGAGCUUUGAGACAGGUGGUGCAUGGUUGUCGUCAGCUCGUGUCGUGAGAUGUUGGGUUAAGUCCCGCAACGAGCGCAACCCUUGCUAUUAGUUGCUAACAGGUAGAGCUGAGCACUCUAAUGGGACUGCCCGUGACAAGCGGGAGGAAGGUGGGGAUGACGUCAAAUCAUCAUGCCCUUUAUGAUCUGGGCUACACACGUGCUACAAUGGAUGGUACAAAGAGAAGCGAGACCGCGAGGUGGAGCGAAUCUCAAAAAGCCAUUCUCA